AACGAACGCUGGCGGCAGGCCUAACACAUGCAAGUCGAGCGCCCCGCAAGGGGAGCGGCGGACGGGUGAGUAACGCGUGGGAACGUACCCUUUGCUACGGAAUAGCCUCGGGAAACUGGGAGUAAUACCGUAUGUGCCCUUUGGGGGAAAGAUUUAUCGGCAAAGGAUCGGCCCGCGUUGGAUUAGGUAGUUGGUGGGUAAUGGCCUACCAAGCCGACGAUCCAUAGCUGGUUUGAGAGGAUGAUCAGCCACACUGGGACUGAGACACGGCCCAGACUCCUACGGGAGGCAGCAGUGGGGAAUCUUAGACAAAUGGGCGCAAGCCUGAUCUAGCCAUGCCGCGUGAGCGAUGAAGGCCUUAGGGUUGUAAAGCUCUUUCAUGGGGAAGAUAAUGACUGUACCCACAGAAGAAGCCCCGGCUAAACUCCGUGCCAGCAGCCGCGGUAAAAAUCACGUGUA
rnacentral:rRNA from 1 species